CACGGGGGUUGCGAGCGUUGUCCGGAAUUACUAGGCGUAAAGGGCAGGCAGGCGGAUCCAUAAGUUUAUCGUUUAAGGCGUCGGCUUAACCGGCGUAGGGCGGUAGAUACUGUGGAUCUGGAAUGCGGUUGGGGAAGACAGAAUUCCUGGUGUAGCGGUGGAAUGCGCAGAGAUCAGGAGGAAUACCGAAGGCGAAGGCAGUCUUCCAAGCCGUUAUUGACGCUCAACUGCGAAGGUGAGGGUAUCAAACAGGAUUAGAUACCCGGGUAGUCCCUGAGCGGG
rnacentral:rRNA from 1 species